UAACAUAAUGUUGUCUCUACUUUAGGAGGUGAUCCAUCCUUUAAAUCAUCACAGCUACCGUUCUGUAACUCCUGUUAUAAACACCAGAAAAAGAAGAAGUUCCCUCCUCCAGCUGGUCCAAAAUGCUGCUACCAGUCUGUUAACCAGGAGGAAGUGGAACUGAGAGAAGGUCAAAUCCAGAUCUAAGAGGAGACGGAGAGAUUCAGGGAGGAGCUAAGAUGUUACUGAACUAUAGAAGAGAGAGGAACUUCUGUAUUCAGCAGAGUUCAAUACACAAACCAUCAACAUUACCUUCAUUCAACAUGCUCUCAUUGGACUGUUAUGGACUUUCUCUACUGUUUGUCACUAUUCUAACAGGUGUCAGCUGUGAAGAACUCACUCCAGUCAAGAAUGAAGAGUCCAGUUUAGAAGACAGCACUGUUACUCUGUCCUACACAUACUCUAAACUGAAACCUACUGGUAGUGAUUAUUUCUUCUGGUAUCGACAAUAUCCAGGAAAACCACCAGAGUUCAUCAUCUCACACUCUUCUUCAGGAGAAGUAGGACUUUUUAAAGUCACUGGACUGAAGAUUAAAGUGGAUCAGAACCAGAAGCAAAUCCAUCUGAACAUCUCCUCUGCUGCAGUGUCACACUCUGCUGUGUACUACUGUGCUGUGAAGCCCACAGUGACAGGAAACACCUAAACUCUGUACAAAAACCU